rnacentral:hammerhead_ribozyme from 1 species
AUCCGGCUGACGAGUCCCAAACAGGACGAAACGUGUCAUGGAU